GACGAACGCUGGCGGCGUGCCUAAUACAUGCAAGUUGAGCGAUGAAGAUUGGUGCUUGCACCAAUUUGAAGAGCAGCGAACGGGUGAGUAACGCGUGGGGAAUCUGCCUUUGAGCGGGGGACAACAUUUGGAAACGAAUGCUAAUACCGCAUAACAACUUUAAACAUAAGUUUUAAGUUUGAAAGAUGCAAUUGCAUCACUCAAAGAUGAUCCCGCGUUGUAUUAGCUAGUUGGUGAGGUAAAGGCUCACCAAGGCGACGAUACAUAGCCGACCUGAGAGGGUGAUCGGCCACAUUGGGACUGAGACACGGCCCAAACUCCUACGGGAGGCAGCAGUAGGGAAUCGUCGGCAAUGGACGAAAGUCUGACCGAGCAACGCCGCGUGAGUGAAGAAGGUUUUCGGAUCGUAAAACUCUGUUGGUAGAGAAGAACGUUGGUGAGAGUGGAAAGCUCAUCAAGUGACGGUAACUACCCAGAAAGGGACGGCUAACUACGUG
rnacentral:rRNA from 1 species